rnacentral:rRNA from 1 species
UGGGAAGUAUUGCACAAUGGGCGCAAGCCUGAUGCAGCCAUGCCGCGUGUAUGAAGAAGGCCUUCGGGUUGUAAAGUACUUUCAGCGAGGAGGAAGGCGUUGUGGUUAAUAACCACAGCGAUUGACGCUACUCGCAGAAGAAGCACCGGCUAACUCCGUGCCAGCAGCCGCGGUGAUACGGAGGGUGCAAGCGUUAAUCGGAAUUACUGGGCGUAAAGCGCACGCAGGCGGUCUGUCAAGUCGGAUGUGAAAUCCCGGGCUCAACCUGGGAACUGCAUCCGAAACUGGCAGGCUAGAGUCUUGUAGAGGG